rnacentral:rRNA from 1 species
AAUCCUACGGGAGGCAGCAGUGGGGAAUAUUGGGCAAUGGGCGAAAGCCUGACCCAGCAACGCCGCGUGAAGGAAGAAGGCUUUCGGGUUGUAAACUUCUUUUGACAGGGAAGAGCAGAAGACGGUACCUGUCGAAUAAGCCACGGCUAACUACGUGCCAGCAGCCGCGGUAAUACGUAGGUGGCAAGCGUUGUCCGGAUUUACUGGGUGUAAAGGGCGUGCAGCCGGGCUGACAAGUCAGAUGUGAAAUCCGGGGGCUCAACCCCCGAACCGCAUUUGAAACUGU